UUAUGAAAUCACAAGUAGAACACAUAAUCAUAUGUAUGUCACAUGUAAUCAUAUGUAAUGUAGAAAAUCACAUGUUCAUGUGUGGUGCAGAAAAAAAUUAUUCAUACACAGUCCCAAUAAGGUAAACUUGAAAUUUUUAGUUGAAAGCCACAGUAUAGAUAGAGGAAAUUGAAAUCAAGUACCCUCAAAUGUCUGAAGGUGAUCCCUUGGGCACUUGGGGAAAUUCCUGGGGUCUUGCCUGUCUUUUGACUCCUAAGGCUGCAUUCUUUCCCUUGGCCCUGUGACCUGGGCCUUUCAUUGCACCUGUCUCAGCAUUGGUGGCUCAUUGCUUGUUGUGGAUCUGUCAGUCCUGUUCAGUGUUACUACGGAGGACUGCUAGAAGCCUCUAGCAGGCCAUUCCUGUAGAGUAGGAAGCAAGAGAAGCUAUGAUGAGGACACUGCCCUGCCCUGGUCCUGGAAUGUUAUCAUCAGUCCAUUCCAGGGCAGCUUAUUUGCUUAAUAAAUCUAACACGGAUGGCCGAUAACUGAAAAAUGACAGUAAAACCUCCCAAGAGUAAAGCCAUUUGCACUAAAAAUAUUUCAGCAUUUGUGUAUUAAGUGAAAAUUAAAACUGAAAGGCCUAAUCUAUUGGGAAAAGAGGUAUGCUAUGCAAAUACCACUAUGAAUAAUGAAUAUCAAAUCACUAUUUGGAUUGAGCACUCACAUAUUCCAGUGAGAACAUUCUACCUGGGACGAAGCUUGAACCCAUCCCUUCUCUUUGACCCUGUAUCCUCUCUGGGGGACUAAUUUUUUUUUACAGAUGUACAUGUAUGUAUGAAGUAUAUGUGUGGAUAUGCAUGCUCAGCCCUGUCUAGUACAUGUGUAUGCAGCUGUACAGACACAGUUGUGUGUGUGUGUGUGUGUGUGUGUCUGGGGGAUGUGUGUAUGUACUUAUGUGUCCUUCCAAAUGCAGAGUCACACAGAGGAAUAUUGUGAAAUUAAAUGUGCAGCAAAAAAAUAAAAAAUACAUGAAUAUGGGAAAGAAACUAGCUGUGAUAGGAAGGUGAUUACAAGGGGCGGG
rnacentral:lncRNA from 1 species